UACCAGCACCCCGAGUGGUCGGGACGUUUAUUGGGCCUAAAGCAUCCGUAGCCGGUUCUACAAGUCUUCCGUUAAAUCCACCUGCUUAACAGAUGGGCUGCGGAAGAUACUAUAGAGCUAGGAGGCGGGAGAGGCAAGCGGUACUCGAUGGGUAGGGGUAAAAUCCGUUGAUCCAUUGAAGACCACCAGUGGCGAAGGCGGCUUGCCAGAACGCGCUCGGACGGUGAGGGAUGAAAGCUGGGGGAGCAAACCGG
rnacentral:rRNA from 1 species